UACGGAGGACGCGAGCGUUAUCCGGAUUUAUUGGGUUUAAAGGGUGCGUAGGCGGACGCUUAAGUCAGCGGUAAAAUUGCGGGGCUCAACCUCGUCGAGCCGUUGAAACUGGGUGCCUUGAGUGGGCGAGAAGUACGCGGAAUGCGUGGUGUAGCGGUGAAAUGCAUAGAUAUCACGCAGAACUCCGAUUGCGAAGGCAGCGUACCGGCGCCCAACUGACGCUGAAGCACGAAGGCGUGGGUAUCGAACAGG
rnacentral:rRNA from 1 species